GACGAAGGAUGCAAGCGUUAUCCGGAUUCAUUGGGUUUAAAGGGAGCGUAGGUGGUCUUAUAAGUCAGUGGUGAAAUCUCUGGGCUUAACCCAGAAAUUGCCAUUGAUACUGUAGGACUUGAGUAUAGUUGCCGUUGGCGGAAUAUGACAUGUAGUGGUGAAAAUACAUAGAGACGUCAUAGAACACCGAUUGCGAAGGCAGCUAACGAAACUAUAACUGACACUGAGGCUCGAAAGUGCGGGGAGUACAAAACAGGGAAUU
rnacentral:rRNA from 1 species